ensembl:lncRNA
CGACGUUGCUACACAUACCCGAUGGUCCAGACUGACUAACUACUCUCUAACUUUUCCUACACACCACACACGCUAAACGAAUGAUGUAUAAUGUGAGCGAGGAAAGUGUAAAAAGAGGAGGCGGAGGAGUAGAAGGUUGAUGAGGAGGAGCAGGAGGAGGAGGAGGAGGUGGAGCUGGACAGAAAAGGAGUUGGAGGGAAUGCCCUGAUGACAGUUCUCCCACUUUGUUUUUCCUCCUCGAAACGGACCAAGGCCAUGAUGUUCAAUCUCCUCCAUCGACCGGUGUCAUCAAAAGGGCUGCCAAUAUCCUGUCCUUCUUAAUUCGUCCCGGUCCGCCCACAACACACUGGAGAUGAGAGGCACUCGCUGGAAGCGUUCUGCUUCUUCCCCCACACAUCCCAACGUAGUGGCUUAUUUCCAUGCAGAAACAGUAAAACAAGUAUGGAGUAUGAAAGCCAUCCAUCUGCUCCGGGAAUUAAGAUGCUAGACAUGUAUUUGUUUGGAUAUGACAAGUGACAAGUGGAAAUCCUUGGCUGAGCGAUGUGCCUGAUAUGCACGGUUACUAUCAGGAUAUCACGUUGCAUAAAAUAUUGAAGAUCAUAAAUAAAACAUUUGAGUGUA